AAUGAGGGGAAGUUAAGGUAGUGCCAGGGGUUUAUGUUGAUGUGUUCUACUUUAACCUAGAAAUAAUCUUCUAAGUUCAGCACUGUCUUUCCUUUUCUAUUUCAGUUGUAGUUGUUAAUUGAAAGGAAUGGCCAGUUCUAUACGUGGAUGUUUAACCAGUUAUAAUCUGCCAAAACUUAAAAGUACAAUUGCAGCAAUGCUUACCUUCUUUUUCUGUUUUUGGUUGGAGUUGGUUGCAUAGUGAACCCAAUGUUGCAAAUGCUUUUUGGCGACGCAGCCAAAGGAAAGCUGUUGCCGAACAAUGGACAACUAGUUCAAGGGUGUUCCUAGUGCAUACAGUGAAUCAGCAGCUGCCAAGGCCUACCCAAAUUGUGAAGCAGUUCCCUGCGAACAAUUCGAAACUGCCUUCAAUGUACUACUAUUUAUGUUGGAAUGACGUCUUGGCACUUGGUGGGGGUGGUAGCUUUGAAUUAUGCUUGGAUGGGGAUUUGUUGCAUGGAACAAGUGGGCCUUGGGAGACUUUUGGGAACUUGUACUCCGCUCAUAAUCCAGAGUUCGAGUUGAAGAAUGUUGAGGUAACGCUAGGUUAAUUACUUACUAUUCAAUCAUCUUUCAGGUCUUCUGAUUCUUUAACAAAGUUUUUACCUGCUUAAUUUUCAAGAGUUCCAUUUUGUCUUCUUCUUCUUCUUCUUCUUCUUCUUCU